rnacentral:rRNA from 1 species
GAUGAACGCUGACAGAAUGCUUAACACAUGCAAGUCUACCUGAUCCUUCGGGUGAAGGUGGCGGACGGGUGAGUAACGCGUAAAGAACUUGCCUUACAGACUGGGACAACAUUUGGAACGAAUGCUAAUACCGGAUAUUAUGACUGAGUCGCAUGAUUUGGUUAUGAAAGCUAUAUGCGCUGUGAGAGAGCUUUGCGUCCCAUUAGUUAGUUGGUGAGGUAACGGCUCACCAAGACGAUGAUGGGUAGCCGGCCUGAGAGGGUGAACGGCCACAAGGGGACUGAGACACGGCCCUU